ensembl:lncRNA
CAUUGUACUCCCAGCAGAAAUGAAGGAAGAAAGAAAAAGUAAACCUCUGUUGUGUUAAGCCAUGAGAUUUUGGAGGAGUUUUGUUACUGCAGUAUAACUUAACUUAUCCUGCUUUACAUCCAAGCCAACUCUUCGAAAGCUAUCCCAGAAAUGCCAACUCUUUGAAGAGAUCUUCCCUGGAUCUCUUUGAGCCUUUGGAAAAUAUCGAGAUAGUAACUCACAAGGGCUCUUCCCCUGCUCCUGCUUCUUGGAUGCCUUGAAUUGAGCAGCUUUCCUCUACCAUACACUUCAGCCAUGAUGCUUUUGCUUUGGAGCCAGCUGACCAUGGACCUAGACCUCUGAAACUGUGAGCCAAAACAACCUCUUCCUCAUUAGGUUGUGGAUGUUAGGUAAUUUUGUCUCAGCAACAGGAAGCUGACCAGUACAAGGGGGACAUAAAGCAAUAUAGGAAUUUGCCAUUGUUGGGGGGCUCUUUGACUGGAGAGGCUUACAUUUUCACUGGUGACUUUGGAUGACCAGACUAUAAGGCAUGAAGUGAUUAGCACAGUGCAGGUUUUCAGCUUAUUAGUUCUGAUGGACAGGAGUUAGGGAGGAG